CGGGAUGCGUCUCAUAUGUGCGCCAAAGAAGAACAUCACAUAUAAUGACAAAGUGUAUAGAGAUAAAUGUCACAAGUAUCAUUAUUACAUAGCGAAAGCCUUACAAAAAUAAAUGAUAACAAUAAAGCAAACUAAAUAUUAUUCCUUGGUGCCAUAAAGUUGACUGGGAGACGCCACUUAGAUGAGCUCGUACUCUUUAUUGUGGGGCUCCUCCUGGACCACCUGUUCUUCUCCUGUGGGGGGUUAUAUAUCACAAGGGUGAGCUCACAAAAUCAUAGCUCCACAAGUCAUGUUACCCAUCUGCCCCGGGGUUGCACGAACCCCGUUCACCUCUACCAAGGAAGCGAGGUAGGGUAACACUACGAGGCCUUUACAAAGUUCCACUAGCUUCAGAAAACCCGCUACAAUUUCUAGGGAGCGCAAUGCAGGAAUCCCCUGUCUGACCGCCAUCGCAGCAAAAUCAACCCAAGAACCUCCCUACACGCCAACUCCCCUACUGCCCUUGCCCAUUUCGGGUAAGGUAGACCUCCACUAGCUUUUCUAAUUAGUCAUCCAAGGGCGUCCCAUUCCACCCUUGUGGUGGCACGUGUUUCUCAAGUUAAGCUCCAUGUUCCAAUUAACAUAAUAGUCUUAUCAUGAAUAGAAAUAAAACAAUAAUAAUAAAAAAUGACCAUGUGUAAUAGUUAUCUCAACACCCAAAACCAUAUAUAGCAAUAACAAAGACCACCCAAAAGUUCAGGGAUAAACAAGGUGUAAAGAUGACCAAACUAGGGUGACCUAUUGGGUCCCAUCAAAAUUAAGCCUAUGCAUGCCAAAAUGAUUAUAGAGAACAUUAUUGGAUAAAUAAAAGUGGUCAAGGGCACAACUUGCCUUCAAUGAGCUCCUGCUCAACAACUUCUACCUGCUGAACACCUGAGUCCUUAAUCACUUGCUCAUCUACUCGCCACAAUACAAACAAACAUGGUACAAAGGAAAUUAAUCAUCACACCAAACAGAGGAAUAUACUACAUGAUAAUAUUCUACACAUCGCAAUGAGAUCGUAUGAACAAGAAUCACUAAAUUCAGAGUUACUGUUUCCGAGUUAUGAUUUUCUGAAGUUAUUAAGUGAUUGAUAUAAAUUAAACCAAAUGAAUAUUUUUUAUCUAUGUUUCAUGACAAAACAUAGUUACUAAGUGAUAAACAAUAUUCAUACAAAAUUAAUGCAACUAGAAUGGAUUUAAAAAGAGUUAAAAUGAAUUUUCUAGGAAUUAAACAAGAUUCUGAAAUUAUUUUUACACUAAAAUUCAUUUUCUAUAUGAUUUCCUCUGAUUUUCUAUCUCUCUGUACUGCACGCACAAAUAUACCUAAGACCAGAGGCUAUUACGUAAGUUCUCAGGACACAGAUUAAAACACUUUCUAUAUACGGUGUACUGCGGGUUGAUAAGCAAGAACUGCAGGGUCUCUUAUAUAAAACUAGUAACGGGUGCGCGCCCCGCGCGCGUUGUAGAAAAAUGUAAUGUAAGUGAUAAUAAUGUUAUAUCAUUUGUAAAAUGUAGAUAUACAUUCUGAAAUAUAAGUGACAAUUAAGAAAGUUGGUCAUGUAUAUCACAGAAGGUUGAACAGUAGUUAUUAAACAGAGUUAGGUAAUUUAUGACGGUGGUUAUUUUUGCCUGUUUCAACAUCUAAAACAAAGUUGUUAUGUUUACACAAAUUGUCUUCAAAAGGUUGAACAUGCAUACUAACAUAUAAAAUAAACACUUUAGAACUUCAAAGGCUGCUGAUGGUAGAAGGUAGCAUUCAGUCUUGGGAGGGUUUCUUAGGAGUUUCUUUUUGGAUGCGCACGGGUCCUUGCUUGAUCCUGUUCAUGAAUUAUAAAAAAGUGAGUUGUUUUAUUUACUUUACUAAUGGACUGAUUAGCUAGACAACUCGUUUUAGGAAUUUGGUAUUUAAGCACGGGGGUUAUUUAGAUGGUUAGAUGCUAUGGAAAAGUUGUACAUAAAAAGAAUAUGACAUAUGCACAUUAACAGAAACUUGAAUCCUUAGUAAGGAACAAAGAGACGUGCAAAAAAAAUAAUAACAUCAUCAGAAGAACAAAAUGUCUGCUUAAAUAAUAAUAAGCACAACAACAGUGCGAUCUCUUAACUACAUGUAAGAAUGUUUCUUGUUAAGCAUUGAACAUAGCACAGAAUGGAUAUGAAUACAUCACACGAUUUAUAUAAGAAAGUAAAAAGAUCGUGUGUGUGGUGGGGGAUAUCAGGUUGAGUGCUGAUGAAUGGGGAGUGGAAGAUCUUAUUUUUGUUCAUGCUUUCAUGAUUUGUGUACCUUUCGGGUACGUAGGAUAACAGAUAUUUUUUUUUCUUGUAGCUAUUCUGAGUAUAUUGCUCCCAGGCGAAAGAGAAUAUGCAACAUCCCCCACUUUUAAAACGGUUUGCUGUCAGGUUGGUUUGUGCAUCACAUUUGAAAUCCGUUUCUAUGAUUUGAUACAGAACUAUUGGUGUGUAUAUGUAACUAUUUAUUGAAUUGUUUGGUUUGGUUCUGAGCUAUACUCAGAUGCUUAUAAGAACUUUUAUAUUACAUACAACUUUUGUUUUAAAAAAGAAAGGAGUAGAAUCUGUUGAGCAGUGCAGUUUGUGUAUGUGAUUUCAACUACUUAUCUAUCUUAUGUUUUAGAAAGUGUUAUGUAAAAGAAAUGCUCGAACAAUAUGUUAGUGAAGCAGUCAUAAUAUUUAAACGCAUUUAAUAUGUUACGUAUCUUAUUAAGUAGAUUCUCUGCGUCUAAUUUAGUUAUAUAUCAAUGGGGGAUAAGCCAAGACCUAAAGUUGUGCGAUACAUUGUUUGUUGAUGUGAUGAUAUUUAUUCAUUACUGCGUUCUAGGUGGCAAAGCAGCUGAUGGAUUUGGGAGAUUAGAUGUAUUGAACAAACGUACCUGAUGUGCUCGGAGUUAAAAUCCCUGGGAAUUAGAGAUGUUUUCGCUCCACACGGAGGGCUGACCUGUAGAAUCAAUUAGAAAUUGGGCUAAUAAACGACCGGUAAACUAUGUAAAUAAAUAUGCGAAGGGAAAAAUAUAGUGUGUUAACAGACGACCAGCAAAUCGUGUACAAUUAAGAAGAUGUAGAUCGGAUUCCCUAUAUUCGUUCUUUCAAGUGAGAUUUUUUUUGGGAAAAAAAAGAAUGUGCAUCCAUAGAAUUAUGUACGUAGGGACAACAUGCGAAGUUUCAACUGUAUAAUUAUAAGGUAAAACAUGAACUUAGUUGAUAGUUCUUCUAUGUAUAAUAGAUACAUUUAAGGUUGAGAUACCUUUUUACCAAUAAUUGAUCAUGUAGAUACGGAUAUCAAAGUCCACAUACUCACACAUCCCAACCCCGAAAAGCUAAUCACACCAGAGACGGAGUGGGAGAAUAUACCUUUUCUUUAUAGUGAAAGUGGCAAGCAGCCAAGUUGUAGUACUUUUUGGCUAACCGAGUGUUUUGAAUUCCUGAACGCAUAUCGCACAGUUAAAACACCUUAGGCGCGAAGGACAAACUUACUUGAGCAAACAGGCUUUCAGCAGUAGUAGAGAGGGACUUAAAAACAUUGGUUAUGGGUGUAAACCAAAGGGAAUUAAAAAAAUGCAUGGUUGCACGCGACGCUCGACUGGAACAGUGGCUUUGCGAUGCUGCAGCCUGCAGGCCGUGUGCCAGGUGGCAGGGUGGGGCGCUGCCUGUGAGAUGUUGCCGCCGUGCCAGGAGAGGAAGGGCGGCGCUGCUGCCUCCUGGCGUUGGCCCACGCCGACGUUGAGGUGGGAUGUGGCUCCUGGCGGUGUCCAGCUCAGCGAGAAGAGGGAUUUGAGGGAACAGGGGGAUAAAGCUAGUGGUGCCUGGCGGCUUGCACAUCGACGGAAACUGAGAGCAAGAGGUUUCUGGCCGCGUUCUAUGGAACUCACAGAGAGAGAAGAGACUAUUGGACAACCGGCGAACAGAAAGAAUGGUACCUGCUUGGCCGUGGGCAAACGGGUGGGGUUCAGCGUGUCCGCCGUCGCGGACCGUGGAAGCCGUCGCCCCGGGAGAGAGAGAGAGAGAGGACGGGAGGAAGAUGCGUAUAUCCUCUUCUACCCCUUUCCGGGGCCAUCUGGAAACAUCAUGUCCUG
rnacentral:lncRNA from 1 species